rnacentral:sRNA from 2 species
ACCCUGAAUAUGCCGAAUCUUGUCGAAUGAAAGAUUUCGACGAGUACGGGGGACGCAACACUUUGGGGUGAAUGUUCUGCCGUUUGUGAGAGCAAGGGAAUCCUCUUCCCGAACCCGUCAACUAACCUCGGAGGCGAAAUGAGGAGGGUAU